rnacentral:rRNA from 1 species
UACUACGACCAUGCUACCCUGAACACGCCGGAUCCUGUCUGAUCUUGGAAGCUAAGCAGGUCUGGUCUGGUUAGUACUUGGAUGGGAGACCGACCACCUAGGAAAACUAGGUGCAGUAGGCG